GGCCCCGUGGCGGAAUUGGCAGACGCGUAGGAUUUAGGUUCCUAUAUUCGCAAGAGUGUUCCGGUUCGACCCCGGACGGGGCCACCA
rnacentral:tRNA from 1 species